GCCAAGCUCAAGGAUGGAAGUGCAG
rnacentral:misc_RNA from 1 species